UACGUAGGGUGCAAGCGUUACUCGGAAUUACUGGGCGUAAAGCGUGCGUAGGCGGUGAGUUAAGUCUGUCGUGAAAGCCCCGGGCUCAACCUGGGAAUGGCGAUGGAUACUGGCUCGCUAGAGUGCGGUAGAGGAGAGUGGAAUUACCGGUGUAGCAGUGAAAUGCGUAGAGAUCGGGAGGAACAUCAGUUGCGAAGGCGGCUCUCUGGACCAGCACUGACACUGAGGCACGAAAGCGUGGGGAGCAAACAGG
rnacentral:rRNA from 1 species